GGGCCCGUAGCUCAGCCAGGACCAGAGCGCCGGCCUUCGGAGCCGGCGGUCCCGGGUUCAAAUCCCGGCGGGCCCGCCA
rnacentral:tRNA from 1 species